UACGUAGGGUGCAAGCGUUGUCCGGAAUUAUUGGGCGUAAAGAGCUCGUAGGCGGUUUGUCGCGUCUGCUGUGAAAACUCAGGGCUUAACCCUGAGCCUGCAGUGGGUACGGGCAGACUAGAGUGUGGUAGGGGAGAUCGGAAUUCCUGGUGUAGCGGUGGAAUGCGCAGAUAUCAGGAGGAACACCGAUGGCGAAGGCAGUUCUCUGGGCCGUAACUGACGCUGAGGAGCGAAAGCGUGGGGAGCGAACAGG
rnacentral:rRNA from 1 species